rnacentral:lncRNA from 1 species
UGGGAUUACAGAUGUGAGAUACCAUGCCCAGCCCAAGGGAGUGAUUAUUUCAAUCACAAGACAUGAAAUCAGGAUGAUGAACACAUUUGGCAAGAAUCUAGUUCCAGAUAAGAAAAACAUGCUCUCUCUUCUCUAAUGAUUGGACAGACUCCUACUCCAAAACAGAAGAUCUCAACUCUGGAAGAGAACAGAUGCCUUCCACUGUGUGAGCGUAAAUUCAGAGCCUUCCAACUUGACAUUCUCAUCGACAAAUUAUUUAAACAUGACGGCUCUUUUAUAAAGAGUGUUAUCUUAAAAGGAAAGGAAUCAAAGGGCUGAACAUGUUGAAGGGAGGAGAAACAAGACCCCCAGGACUUGUCAAUGGCACACAUGAAAGACAGAAAACACCAGAAGCCAGUCUUCAGCCUGCUGGCCCAGCCAUGGCCACUGUAACGUACGGCUAAACCCCUGCCCCGAUCAGCUCUCAAGGCUCUGAGCCAACUGCCUAGACCGUCUAUUUGAGAUCCCUGAGAGUUUCAACACAGGGCAUGGCUGACCUCUCCACCGUGUCAUUUCCAGUAAUGCGGCCUCACUGAUAGCAGAAGUUCGGAGAGCUCUUGUCAGAGAGGCCAGCUGGCACCAUGUGAGUCUUACCCAGAGGGAAACCUGACAAUCUUCCAGCAUGCUCACCAGACUGGGGCACUGACUUUUGUCACUUGAUUCUCAACUCACAGUCUCAAGAUGCUGGUGCUAAUGUACAUUGCAGCUGACACUGGAGUUUAUUUUUAUAACUGCUCUUGCCUCAGAAAAAGCUCCAUCCCAGUACGACUUCCAGGACAGGGAUGGUCUGGAUGCUGCAGUUAGGACAAUGAUCAUCUCGUUCUCUUAGUGGUUAGGAAUCCUGUGGGCUUAUGGAAUAAGCUCGCUGAAACAGACAGUGACAUCCACGGUGACACUGACCGAAUUGUGCUCCAGUGGCCUAGAGAGUGCCUAUUAUUUAUCUCAUUUCUGUUCUGCAUAAUAACACCAACCAAACCGCUAAUGAAUGAAUAUUAUUACAUGCUUUGGUAGGAACGCAAAGGCAAAUUGGGCUCACUGUAGAGAAUAUCUUGCUCCUCAUUUUGUAUUAAAAUGCCUAGACGCCCCUCAAGAGACCAUGUCAAGGAUGAAAUUUAUCCACUGCCUGCAUUUGCUAAUUUGAAAGAGUUCUGAUUUCAUCUGCCGGGCUUAAUAUAGAAAUUCUUUUAACCUGAACAGAUACACAGAAAUGUGGAAUUUAUUCAAUGCCAUUUUCUUGAUUUAUGUCAGGAAAUAUAUAUGGCUAUGCUGUCAUCUUUUUAUAUAUAGACAUCAAUAUAUAUAAAUAUAUAGAGUCAAGUCAGAAAUUCUGAAACCACAUUGCACUUAGCCCUUACAGCAUAAUGCUUUCCAUAUUCUUCACAGUUUGUUUCCCUGAUCCUUUAGAGAGAGCUACUGUGUUUAAAGUGUAAACCAUUUUUACAGAAAAAAUGUAUUACAAUUCUAUAUGAUAAUUCUCAAA